rnacentral:rRNA from 2 species
UUAAGAAAAUAAGUGCAAGCGGUGGAUGCCUUGGCAUUCAGAGGCGAUGAAGGACGUGUUAAUCUGCGAUAAGCUUCGGGGAGCUGGUAAAUAAGCUUUGAUCCGGAGAUUUCCGAAUGGGGGAACCCACCUGGCAUAAGCUGGGUACUCACUCGAUAUGGAGUGUAGAGCGAACGAGGGAACUGAAACAUCUAAGUACCCUUAGUACUGACUCGAUGCAAACUCAGAAUACGAUGAAGUUUAAUCACGGGAGACACACUGCGGGUGCUAAGGUCCGCAGUGGAAAGGGAAACAGCCCAGACCGCCAACUAAGGUCCCUAAGUCAUAACUAAGUGGGAAACGAAGUGGGAAGGCCCAGACAGCCAGGAGGUUGGCUUAGAAGCAGCCACCCUUUAAAGAAAGCGUAAUAGCUCACUGGUCGAGUCGGCCUGCACGUAAGAUUUAACGGGGCUAAGUUAUGCACCGAAGUUGCGGAAUAUAUUUAGUAUAUUGGUAGGGGAGCGUUCUGUAAGCUGAUGAAGGUAUGUUGAGAAGCAUGCUGGAGGUAUCAGAAGUGCGAAUGCUGACAUGAGUAACGUAAAAUAAGUGAGAUUCUUAUUGGCCGAAAACCCAAGGAUUCCUACGCAAUGUUAAUCAACGUAGGGUAAGCCGGCCCCUAAGGCGUAGCUGAAGAGUGAAGUCGAUGGGAAACAGGUUAAUAUUCCUGUGCCGCUUAUAUGAACGAAGGAGGGACGGAGAAGGUUAGGUAGGCCUGGCGAAUGGUUGUCCAGGUGAAAGUAUGUAGGUAGGAAUGCUAGGCAAAUCCGGUGUUCUGUUGAUCUGAGAUACGAGACGAAGUCAAACUUGUUUGACGAAGCUAUUGAUACCAUGCUUCCAGGAAAAGCUUCUAAGUAUAUUGUAUAAGCGACCGUACUGUAAACCGACACUGGUGGGUAGGUAGAGAAUACUAAGGCUAUGAGAUAACUCUGGUGAAGGAACUAGGCAAAAUGACACCGUAACUUUGGAAGAAGGUGUGCCCUUGAUGGUGAUGAGACUGCUCUCUAAGCUGUUGGGGGUUGCAAAUACCAGGUGGCUGCGACUGUUUAUCAAAAACACAGCACUCUGCUAAAUCGUAAGAUGAAGUAUAGGGUGUGACGCCUGCCCGGUGCUGGAAGGUUAAUUGAAGGGGUUAGCGCAAGCGAAGCUCUGGAUCGAAGCCCAGUAAACGGCGGCCGUAACUAUAACGGUCCUAAGGUAGCGAAAUUCCUUGUCGGGUAAGUUCCGACCUGCACGAAUGGCGUAACGACGGCCACACUGUCUCCACCAGAGACUCAGUGAAAUUGAAAUCGCUGUGAAGAUGCAGUGUACCCGCGGUUAGACGGAAAGACCCCGUGAACCUUUACUAUAGCUUUGCACUGGACUUUGAAUAUUUAUGUGUAGGAUAGGUGGGAGACUUUGAAGCAGUUACGCUAGUAGCUGUGGAGUCAUCCUUGAAAUACCACCCUUGAGUAUUUGAAGUUCUAACUCAGGAGAGAUUCGAGGACAGUGUAUGGUGGGUAGUUUGACUGGGGCGGUCUCCUCCUAAAGAGUAACGGAGGAGUACGAAGGUGCACUCGGUACGGUCGGAAAUCGUACCAAGAGUAUAAAGGCAAAAGUGCGCUUGACUGCGAGAGUGACGGCUCGAGCAGGUACGAAAGUAGGUCUUAGUGAUCCGGUGGUCCCGUAUGGAAGGGCCAUCGCUCAACGGAUAAAAGGUACUCCGGGGAUAACAGGCUGAUUCCUCCCAAGAGUUCAUAUCGACGGAGGAGUUUGGCACCUCGAUGUCGGCUCAUCACAUCCUGGGGCUGAAGCAGGUCCCAAGGGUAUGGCUGUUCGCCAUUUAAAGUGGUACGCGAGCUGGGUUCAGAACGUCGUGAGACAGUUCGGUCCCUAUCUGCCGUGGGCGUUAGAGAUUUGAGAAGAGUUGCUCCUAGUACGAGAGGACCGGAGUGAACGAACCACUGGUGUUCCGGUUGUUUCGCCAGAAGCAUUGCCGGGUAGCUAUGUUCGGAAGGGAUAACCGCUGAAAGCAUCUAAGCGGGAAGCCUCCUUCAAGAUUAGAUCUCUCUGAUGAAAAUCAGUAAGGAACGUUGGAGACUACGACGUUGAUAGGCUGGGUGUGGAAGUACAGCAAUGUAUGAAGCUUACCAGUACUAAUGAUCCGAGAGACUUAAGUCUAU